UACGUAUUUAUAGCGAGUAAAAAAAAAAACAAAUACGGUCAGCACCAAACCAGACUUAAAUGAAUCACAUAGAUAAGAGUUCUGCGUUAGGAUGGUAAGAGAUAUGCAAUUAUAUACGUAUUUAUAGCGAGUAAAAAAAAAACAAAUCCGCUCAGCACCAAAACCAGACAUAAAUGAAUCACGUAGAUAAGAGUUCUCGCUAAAUCACAUCCUGUUUAUCAGCGUCCCCCACCCAAUUGACUCAACUUCAAAAUAAAAAUAAACAACUAUUUACAAUACAAAUGCAUCAGCAUAAUAUUUUGCUACCCUUCCUCAUCCUCUCUUUUCAUCCACACUUUCUCCUCCAAGUGAAUAUAAUUCCUUUUCUCAAUGAAUGCGCUACCGAUAUUUGCCCGCAAUAAGAGUGAACCAAAUAACUCCUUGCUGAAUUCAGUAAGAUUUACUAGCGCCCUUGGAUUGUGAAACAUCCAUACAACCUACAUAUAUAAACAUUCUCUAACCACGUCGCAAUAAGUUCAAAUCUCGACCACAACGUACGUUUAUCAUACUUUUCAAGCGCCUAUUAUAAGCAUAUGUACAUUGUUAAUCUUCAUACAAACUGUUCUGUUCAGCAAAUUUAUUUUCUGCGCUCAUUUCAGAGUACUUUUUGCUUACCCGAUACAUACAAAGCAUGUCACACCUUGCCCCUUACCCCUCCCUCAAUGCAAACACUUAACCAAACAAUGGCACAGCAGUCUAAAUGUAUCCAAACAACAAACAUAUAUACACUUUGUGCUCGUAUCUGCUCGCUCAGCAUACGAAUAAAGUGAACAUCGGCCAAUUACGCCAACAGCAGCAGUCGACCUGGGAAUUUUUUUAUGUACUUGGGUUUUUUUUCUUUCUCGUUUUCACUUUGUACUUUGUAUUUUAAUGCUUAUAUCCUAAUAUCAGUACAAAAUUUCACAUUUAAACAAGUUUGGAUUAGCUAAAAUUUAAAGAAGCUGCUCUAAUCAUCACCUUUAUCAGUUGAGAGAUGACAACACGCAACUAAAAUGGCGGACGUUUCUCCAUUCGGUGUUCAUCCGUUUUCAUUUGUAUUAACUUUGACGUAGUUACAUUGCAUAUGUGAAUGUGGCUGCUUGCAAACAAAAUAAAUUGAGAGAGUUGGACAAUCUAUAUUUGUAUAUCAGUACAAUAACAACGUGAUGCCAAUCGUUUGAAACUAUGAAAUCCAUCAAAAAAUCCAAAAACAAAUCAA